CAAAUUUAGGAUGUUGGAAAGGAGGAAGGUUGGGGAGUGGAGGGCAGGGUUUCUUAUAGAAUGGUGGGAGUGGUUUAUAAAUUGGAAUUGGAGGUGGAAGUGGCUUUACUAUUGGAGGAAUGUAAAUUGGUGGCUUUGGCUUGUAGAUUGGAAUUGGAGGUGGAAGUGGCUUUACUAUUGGAGGGAUGUAAAUUGGUGGCUUUGGCUUGUAGAUUGGAACUGGUGGUGGUAGUGGCUUUACUACCGGGGGUAUGUAAACCGGUGGCUUUGGCUUGUAGGUUGGAACUGGUGGUGGUAGUGGCUUUAUUAUCGGAGGUAUGUAAAUCGGUGGCUUUGGCUUUGGUUUGUAGAUAGGAACUGGUGGUGGAAGAGGCUUUACUACCGGAGGUUUGUAAACUGGUGGCUUUGGCUUUGGUUUGUAGAUUGGAACUGGUGGUGGAAGCGGCUUUACUGGAGGCUUUGGCUUGUAAAUAGGGACAGGUGGAGGAAGUGGCUUUGGUUUGUAAAUGGGGACGGGUGGAGGAAGCGGCUUUUUGUAAAUGGGAACUGGGGGAGGAAGUGGCUUUGGUUUGUAAAUGGGGACGGGUGGAGGAAUCGGCUU
rnacentral:lncRNA from 1 species